AGCGAGAAGCGUGUGAGAAUCAUGCUCGCCGAAAGCCUAAGGGUUCCGACGGAAGGGUCGUCCGCGUCGGGUAAGUCGGGCCUAAGCCGAGGCCGAAAGGCGUAGGCGAUGGACAACAGGUGAAGAUUCCUGUACUACCAUGAGGGAGCAAAGCGGGGACGCGGGGAAGACAGCCAGCCGGUUAAUGGAUUCCGGCGCCAAGCGGGGUAGGCCUACGGGCCGAGCCGUGAUGGCGGUCCCACGGGACAGAAGUGGCUAGAAGGCCCGCCAAGAAAAGCCGCGUAGCGAAGAACUCAAGGUACCCGUACCGCAAACCGACACAGGUGGGCUGGUAGAGGAUACCAAGGCGAGCGGGAGAACUCUGGUUAAGGAACUCGGCAAAAUAGAGCCGUAACUUCGGGAGAAGGCUCGCCCCUGAGCGUGUAGGCCUAAACGGCCGAAGCGUCUGGGGGCCGCAGAGAAAAGGCCCUGCCGACUGUUUACCAAAAACACAGGUCUGUGCGAACGCGCAAGCGGAAGUAUACGGGCUGACACCUGCCCAGUGCCGGAAGGUUAAGAGGAGAGGUUAGGCUUAGGCCGAAGCUUUGAAUCGAAGCCCCGGUGAACGGCGGCCGUAACUAUAACGGUCCUAAGGUAGCGAAAUUCCUUGUCGGGUAAGUUCCGACCCGCACGAAAGGCGUAACGAGUGGGGCACUGUCUCAACCAGAGACCCGGCGAAAUUGCAGUGACGGUGAAGAUGCCGUCUACCCGCAGCGGGACAAAAAGACCCCGUGGAGCUUGACUGCAGCUUGUCAUAGCGUCUGGGUAUAGACUGUGUAGGAUAGGUGGGAGGCUGAGAAGCUGGGCUUGCGGGCUCGGUGGAGCCGACGUUGAAAUACCACCCUGUUUGUACUUUGGCGCUAACCCUAGCCGUGAUCCGGUGAGGGGACGGUGACAGGUGGGCAGUUUGACUGGGGCGGUCGCCUCCCAAAAGGUAACGGAGGCGCCCAAAGGUACCCUCAGGCGGAAUGGAAACCCGCCGUGGAGCGUAAAGGCGGAAGGGUGCUUGACAGCGAGAGAGACAACUCGAGCUGGUGCGAAAGCAGGGCUUAGUGAUCCCACGGUUCCGAGUGGAAGGGCCGUGGCUUACCGGAUAAAAGCUACCCCGGGGAUAACUGGCUAGUCUUCGCCAAGAGUUCACAUCGACGCGAAGGCUCGGCACCUCGAUGUCGGCUCGUCACAUCCUGGGGCUGGAGUCGGUCCCAAGGGUUGGGCUGUUCGCCCAUUAAAGUGGUACGCGAGCUGGGUUCAGAACGUCGUGAGACAGUUCGAUCUCUAUCCGCUGCGGGAAGAAGUGACGAGAGAGGGGCUGCCCCUAGUACGAGAGGACCGGGGUGGACAGACCGCUGGUGGACCGGUUGUGGUGCCAACUGCAUUGCCGGGUAGCUACGUCUGGGAAGGAUAACCGCUGAAAGCAUCUAAGUGGGAAACCUGCCUCUGGAGUGACUGUCCCGAGAGGGGUAAGGGCGCUGGGAGACUACCAGUUAGAUAGGCCGCAGGUGGAAGCGCAGCAAUGUGUGUAGCCGAGCGGUACUAACGCCCGAGCGCUUCGUGA
rnacentral:rRNA from 1 species